UGGGUUCGUUUGGGCAGCCCUUGUGAGAUUGGGUCAGUGUGAUGCAUGUCUAUGUCUACAGAUAGCAUGUGUUUGUUAGCAAUAGUAUAGUUACAUGUAGUUGUAGAAUUCUUUUCAGCUUUUCUUACUAUCCUUUGCAUACUUUACUGUAGACUUAGUAGGUAGGCGGUUGGAGUCGGUGACGGUACUCACUAAGGACUACUCUGGUUGGCAGUAGUUCUCACACCUAAUUGUUGCUAUGUUUUUGCAGAGCCUUCGCCUACGGCUGCUGCUGUUGCUGAUUGCGACCGUCGUAAGAGAGUCGCUGGUUAGAUCCCUUCCAUCCCUGGUCUUUUGCUAGAGGGGCACCCAUCAGAGGUAGUUUUGAGAUUUUAUGUACAUACUGUUAUAUUGUUGUAUUCGCUGGAGCGAGUUGGUUCCGUGGUUUCUGUAUAUACAGUGGACCCUUUAUGUUUUAUAUAUACAUA
rnacentral:lncRNA from 1 species